UAUUUCAAGUAUUUUGGUGUUUUGAAUAUAUUUUAGCUAUUUUAGACAUUUACUUUUAACUAUUUAUGUAUAUUUUCAAGUAUUUUAGACAACUUAAAAUUAUCUUAUAUAUUUUGGAUGUUUUUAAUAUAUAUUAAAUCUAAAAAUAAGUAAUAUAUUUAGGUAUAUAAAUCUAUUUCGAUUACAUUCGGAUACCCGAGAUACUUCGGUUCGGAUCGGAUUCGGUUUCGGUUCUUUAGAUACCAAAAUUUUGAACCCGUUCGGAUAUUUAAUCAAUUUCGGUUCGGAUUCGGUACUACUUUUUCGGAUCGGAUUCGGUUCGGUUCUUCGGAUCCGGGUUUCUCGCCCAGCCCUAGCUAUUAUAUAUAUUUGCUAACCUGGUAAUAGGUACCAAAAUGGCAAAACGUGAAUAAUAAAUUAUCACGUAAUAACACACACUAUCGUUACAAAAAAUGCAGGAUCCUGGAGAUUAAUACCCGUGACAGUCCGCACUCGUGGUCUACAAAACCACCGUAAGGGAUUUCUUAUGAUUUUCUUUGGACUUUGCUUUAUGGGUGGCUUAUAUAUAUAGUAUUAUUUUCAAUAAAAUUCGCGGCAUAUUCCAUUUUUGCAUUUGUUCUCAACUCUCAGCAUUUAGCACCAGUAAAAACUAUUCGGCAUCUCAGAAGAGAAUUAAACGAGCGAAAUAAUUGAAUUGUUUAACUGACGCCUUACACAUUAACACGUCUCGAGCAGAAUAAGUUCAUUAUAUUUGAGUACAAUUGUUUAACUGAUGCCUAUAUUGGUAACUUGACGUACAAUUGGUAAAUUUAAGAUUAAUUUGUUUUAAUAAUUUAAUUGGUGUAUUUUCUGGUUAUCUAUUGAGUUGGCAAACAAAUAUAUAUAUAUAUAUUGAGUAUAUAUUCUUGAUCAUGAGUUCGAUGACGAAGGUGGCGAAAAAAGAUUAACAUAUUUUUUUAUCUCCGAAUUGAGAAAAAUAUGAACUUAACCUUAUAACAUUUUUUUACUUUAGUUAAAAUAUAAAACAAUAGUCUAUGAUAUUAAACUAUAUGGUGCAAUAUUGCUCUAUUUUAGUUAGUUAAGUUACAUUUUUGCUUAAAUAUUAAACUACAGGCUUGUGAUACAUUAAACUAUAUACGAUGCAUUUCUAUAAUUCAGAUAAUUAGACGUAAUUAAGCUCCGCAAUUGAUAUAUCACAUCAACCUCUGAUAUUUUUGUUUGUUUGUUUUGUCUGUUGUUGUGUUGAGUUGCUUUUUUCGCCUUGUUUUGGCUGUUCAUUGGCUGUCGUUAAGAAAAUAAUUGAAAACAAAAAAGGUUAAACGCGAAUAACUAUUCUAAUACAAGCGAAGAACUGAUUCCCAAUAAGUAAUUAUCUCCCAGUUUGACCAGAAUUCAUUCACAAAAUUCAAGAUCUUUUAUAGGAUUGUCGUUGCCGUUUAUAGGUUAUGAGAUUUGACCACUAUCAACUGCAGUGGUACUGUUCAAUCCAAUCCCAUACCACGCAAAUGUCUCUCUUUCCAUACAUCUGCCCCAUUGCAUGUAGGAGGGAGAGAGAGAAGAAAGAGACAGAAAAAACAAAUACAGAGAUAAGACUCUUGAUAGAGAGUGAGCGACAUGGAGAGAUAAGGUUUUUUGUUUCCUUCUUUAACAUAGAUUCUUCCUCUCUUCACAUUUCCUCUUAAUCUAAUCUUUAUUUCCUUUGUUCUUUCUUUUUUGGUAAUUUAUUUUCCUCUCCUCACGAUUUGGUCAAAAGUCAAAACCCUAGAUUUGUGGGUAUCUAAAAAUGAAUAAAACUUUCCUCUCUACCUUUGGUUAUAAAUAUUCUCUCUGGCUUUCUUGCUUACCCUAAGCCCUCUCAGAUCUAACUCUACAGCCUCAGGGUCUCCUCCUUUCAAAUGCCUUAGGUCUCUGAUUACACAAUUUGUGUCGGUAAGGCCAUAUUGAGUGAGUGUUUUGGGACAAGUUUUAGAGAAACGCAAAGAAACUGACAGAAGAGAGUGAGCACACAAAGGCACUUUGCAUGUUCGAUGCAUUUGCUUCUCUUGCGUGCUCACUGCUCUAUCUGUCAGGUUCCGGCACCGAUUCUUUUUGGUCCGUUCACUUUUUCUUCUUUGAUUGUGUUCCCAUCUCUCUCACAGUCUCACCCACUUUCUUUCUCCAUAGGUUUUGAUUGUCUAUGCCAGAGAUGAACGCAGUGUUUACGGUAACCUAUUAACUUGUACUUGGGAUGUUGAUUUAGGGUUUUUGUGUCAUGUUUUAUCAGUUGAUUGCCGCAGGUUUCACAUAUGUAUAUAUGAAUGAUCUAGUUUAGAGUCAGGAUAUUAAACAAUGUUUGACUCAUUAUAAGGUGAGUAGGAUCUGGAUAGAACUGUUGUUGUGCACAUCCACUAUCAGAAUACCUACACUAAUAAUUUAAUUGGUUAUAUGUCGUUGCAACUGAAUUUUGCCUGAAUCCUGAAUCCUGAAAUUGUCCAAGUUCAAUGUUAUCAAGUCAUCAUCUUAAGAAACUGAAGUAUUACCUGGUAAUUGGCUCUUCUUGAUAAGCUAGCCACUUAAAAUCAUUUCUUGUGAAGAGCAUUUCCUUCUUUUCUAAAACUUAUUUUGUUGUAUAAUAUAGGCACAAAGAAAGUAGAUGUGAUUAAGAAAAUCGAAUUAAAUAUUCUAGUCAGCCGUUUCAAAAUAUUCAAAAGAUUAUAUUCUUCUUGAAGCAAUAUAAAGUCAAUAUUUAUCAACCAAGUUGAUAAUAAUGAAAUAAAAGAAAUCAAAACAUGUAAGUUACAUAUUUAAUUGCCGCUAGCUUGAAAACUUAACCAAAGAAAGUUUCCCUCUGAUUAAUUAACCAUUAUCUUAAAUUGUGUUGUUGUAUAUAGUCUUUAAACCUUCGAUUAAGUUGUGUAGAAAACAUGGAGGAGUCGAGCGAGAGGGUUGUUCGGUUAGAGCAACACGAUGAGAUCACGAUGGGCGAUGACUUGAUUAUCCAUUCCAUCCCACAGGACCUAGCACUAGCAGUAUCGGCGAUAUAUGAUCGCAUGAUGGUAGAUGUGGAGGAGUUAUUGUUUAACCAAAUCAGAGACACCUUCCUCUCGUAUACCACCCCAUCAUACUUAGGCUUCGUCGGUCUCCCCGACGAAGAAUGCCAACUACCACGGCCAGCUCUUUGUAAGGCUAGACGGAGACGCGAUCCUCCGCCUCGAGUAUCUAGACGAUCCUCGCAGGUGUCUCCACCGAUUUAUCUACGCCAUAGGUUUCUGCCACAGUCACGUAAAGACUCUUCUUCUCGACGCCAACGUUGAUCUUCUAAUCAUUUAUAUGAUAUGAUGUUCUUUGUGUCAUUGUGUGUUGUGUCUACAUAUCAUAAUAAUAAUCGGAUGUAUCCGAAGUGUGUACGGUUUAUUUGAAAUUCUGGUAUACAACAAUAAACCGGGAAAUUUAUGUACCAACUCCCGGUUAUUGAGACUAUAAAUCUCUCUCUAUCUUUCUUUC